GUACUGAUGAAGAGUCCUGGUAACUAGGGCGAAACGGCUGUCCAGUAC
rnacentral:hammerhead_ribozyme from 1 species